GAUGAACGCUAGCGGCAGGCUUAAUACAUGCAAGUCGAGGGGCAUCGCGGGGUAGCAAUACUCUGGCGGCGACCGGCAAACGGGUGCGGAACACGUACAGAACCUUCCUUCGAGCGGGGAAUAGCCCAGAGAACUUUGGAUUAAUACCCUAUAGUAUAGCGGAGUGGCAUCACUCUGUUAUUAAAGCUUUAUGACUUGAAGAUGGCUGUGCGGCUGAUUGGGGAGUUGGCGGGGUAACGGCCCACCAAGCCUGCGAUCAGUAACUGGUGUGAGAGCACGACCAGUCACACGGGCACUGAGACACGGGCCCGACUCCUACGGGAGGCAGCAGUAAGGAAUAUUGGUCAAUGGACGAAAGUCUGAACCAGCCAUGCCGCGUGAAGGAUGAAGGUCCUCUGGAUUGUAAACUUCUUUUAUAUGGGACGAAAAAAGGCUUUUCUAAGUCGUCUGACGGUACCAUUUGAAUAAGCACCGGCUAACUCCGUGCCAGCCGCCGCCGUAACAC
rnacentral:rRNA from 1 species